GCGAUGGGUGCAGCAACAUUGCUGGAGAACAUGGAUUGGUAAUUCUGGGUUGGGACUCUUCAGACCUUAAACUCUUAAGAUAGUCUAAAUAUAUUGGACUACCUUAAUAUUGGUCCAACCUGUAGGAGUCCUGACUGCAGAGACACAAUGGUCCUGGUUGAAGAUGCAUCUCCAGGCAUUGUCCACAUGUCCAAGUGUUGUUACCUUGAGGACUAGAA